GGAGGGACGGGGAGACAGGAAUCAGGAGGAGCCUCUGACGGCCCUGGGAUCAGCAGGUGGUUUGGAGGAGGUGAUUCUUGCAGAACAAGUCACGUGGGGAGACCUGGCACACUUGUGAAUAGCUCUGUGAACAGCCAUGGGGGCCGUGAGCCACUGGGGACCAGCUGGAAGGGCCUUCAUUCCUCUCUCAACACCUGGGAACUGAGGCAGGACCCACGGUCCUGGGACGAGGUCUGGAAGCGCAGAACGGAAAGCUGAACAUUCCAGCAGACUCUCUUCCUGGGCUAGAAGUUUGGAUAUCCUUGGAGGCACUCAGAUUAAGUAAAAUUCCAAUUUGAAAAAUACCAGUCUCUUCUGGACAUUCCAAGAGGAGAGGGUCCAUUUCGCACUUCGGUCCUGGGGACGUGUCUAGCCAGCAGGUGUGGGGCUGAUGGUAGAAGGCGUGGGCUCUGAGGCCGGGGAGUCCACAGUCCUCGCCGUGACUGCUCAGCUGCUUUCUGGCUGUGGUCUUGGGAGGCUUCACUGCUCCACUUUGUUCACCCAUCUGUAAACUGGGGCUGAUAAUCAUGGCACCAUUCGAGCAGCUGUGCAGACUGAAAGAGGUCGUGCCUGGACGGCACGUGGCUCCAGACCUGGCCUGGAGAGGACGCUUGGCCUCCGCUCAUCAUCCCUGGGGUUGACCUCAUCGUGCUGUAACCAGCCCUGCUCUGUCCCUUGCUGGCUGUGUGAGCGUGGACAGGUUGCUAAAUGCCUCCUUUGGUUCUGAAUUUCUCAUUUGAAAAUGGAGACAACGGCACCUCUAUUCAGUGCUGUCCUAAGCUUGUGAGGCCGGUGGUGAGCCAGCAUCCGGUGCCUAGGGAGGGCGGGAGGUGCGCGGGGAGCACAGGCAGGGCCGGCUGUGUGGCCACCCUGGGGACGCGGCCCACCACACCUCACAUCUGUGCAGAAGCCUGCUCAAAAGUGAUUCUACUCUUUUCCUUAUUUGGGACAGUGCCUUUCCUUCCUUUCAUUAAAAAAUAAAAAAUCUCCAUGGGACAUAGAAUCCUAAGAGCCAGCCGUGGCGGGAGGUGGCUCUGUGGACC
rnacentral:lncRNA from 1 species